GGACGAACGCUGGCGGCGUGCUUAACACAUGCAAGUCGAACGGAAAGGCCCUGCUUUUGUGGGGUGCUCGAGUGGCGAACGGGUGAGUAACACGUGAGUAACCUGCCCUUGACUUUGGGAUAACUUCAGGAAACUGGGGCUAAUACCGGAUAGGAGCUCCUGCUGCAUGGUGGGGGUUGGAAAGUUUCGGCGGUUGGGGAUGGACUCGCGGCUUAUCAGCUUGUUGGUGGGGUAGUGGCUUACCAAGGCUUUGACGGGUAGCCGGCCUGAGAGGGUGACCGGCCACAUUGGGACUGAGAUACGGCCCAGACUCCUACGGGAGGCAGCAGUGGGGAAUAUUGCACAAUGGGCGGAAGCCUGAUGCAGCAACGCCGCGUGCGGGAUGACGGCCUUCGGGUUGUAAACCGCUUUCGCCUGUGACGAAGCGUGAGUGACGGUAAUGGGUAAAGAAGCACCGGCUAACUACGUGCCAGCAGCCGCGGUGAUACGUAGGGUGCGAGCGUUGUCCGGAUUUAUUGGGCGUAAAGGGCUCGUAGGUGGUUGAUCGCGUCGGAAGUGUAAUCUUGGGGCUUAACCCUGAGCGUGCUUUCGAUACGGGUUGACUUGAGGAAGGUAGGGGAGAAUGGAAUUCCUGGUGGAGCGGUGGAAUGCGCAGAUAUCAGGAGGAACACCAGUGGCGAAGGCGGUUCUCUGGGCCUUUCCUGACGCUGAGGAGCGAAAGCGUGGGGAGCGAACAGGCUUAGAUACCCUGGUAGUCCACGCUGUAAACGGUGGGUACUAGGUGUGGGGUCCAUUCCACGGGUUCCGUGCCGUAGCUAACGCUUUAAGUACCCCGCCUGGGGAGUACGGCCGCAAGGCUAAAACUCAAAGGAAUUGACGGGGCCCCGCACAAGCGGCGGAGCAUGCGGAUUAAUUCGAUGCAACGCGUAGAACCUUACCUGGGUUUGACAUGGAUCGGGAGCGCUCAGAGAUGGGUGUGCCUCUUUUGGGGUCGGUUCACAGGUGGUGCAUGGCUGUCGUCAGCUCGUGUCGUGAGAUGUUGGGUUAAGUCCCGCAACGAGCGCAACCCUUGUUCACUGUUGCCAGCACGUUAUGGUGGGGACUCAGUGGAGACCGCCGGGGUCAACUCGGAGGAAGGUGGGGAUGACGUCAAGUCAUCAUGCCCCUUAUGUCCAGGGCUUCACGCAUGCUACAAUGGCUGGUACAGAGAGUGGCGAGCCUGUGAGGGUGAGCGAAUCUCGGAAAGCCGGUCUCAGUUCGGAUUGGGGUCUGCAACUCGACCUCAUGAAGUCGGAGUCGCUAGUAAUCGCAGAUCAGCAACGCUGCGGUGAAUACGUUCCCGGG
rnacentral:rRNA from 1 species